rnacentral:rRNA from 1 species
CCUACGGGAGGCAGCAGUGGGGAAUUUUGGACAAUGGGCGAAAGCCUGAUCCAGCAAUGCCGCGUGAGUGAAGAAGGCCUUCGGGUUGUAAAGCUCUUUUGUCAGGGAAGAAACGGUGAGAGCUAAUAUCUUUUGCUAAUGACGGUACCUGAAGAAUAAGCACCGGCUAACUACGUGCCAGCAGCCGCGGUAAUACGUAGGGUGCAAGCGUUAAUCGGAAUUACUGGGCGUAAAGCGUGCGCAGGCGGUUUUGUAAGUCUGAUGUGAAAUCCCCGGGCUCAACCUGGGAAUUGCAUUGGAGACUGCAAGGCUAGAAUCUGGCAGAGGGGGGUAGAAUUCCACGUGUAGCAGUGAAAUGCGUAGAUAUGUGGAGGAACACCGAUGGCGAAGGCAGCCCCCUGGGUCAAGAUUGACGCUCAUGCACGAAAGCGUGGGGAGCAAACAGGAUUAGAUACCCUGGUAGUCCACGCCCUAAACGAUGUCUACUAGUUGUCGGGUCUUAAUUGACUUGGUAACGCAGCUAACGCGUGAAGUAGACCGCCUGGGGAGUACGGUCGCAAGAUUAAAACUUAAAUGAAAUUGACGG